GCUUAACGCGAAGAACCUUACCAAGGCUUGACAUAUACCUGAAAAGGCUGGAAACAGUCUCCCCGCAAGGCAGGUAUACAGGUGGUGCAUGGUUGCCGUCAGCUCGUGUCGUGAGAUGUUGGGUUAAGUCCCGCAACGAGCGCAACCCUCGUUCUAUGUUGCCAGCACGUAAUGGUGGGAACUCAUAGGAGACUGCCGGGGUCAACUCGGAGGAAGGUGGGGAUGACGUCAAAUCAUCAUGCCCCUUAUGUCUUGGGCUUCACGCAUGCUACAAUGGCCGGUACAAAGGGCUGCAAUACCGCAAGGUGGAGCGAAUCCCAAAAAGCCGGUCUCAGUUCGGAUUGAGGUCUGCAACUCGACCUCAUGAAGUCGGAGUCGCUAGUAAUCGCAGAUCAGCAACGCUGCGGUGAAUACGUUCCCGGGUCUUGUACACACCGGGUCUUGUACACACCGG
rnacentral:rRNA from 1 species